rnacentral:lncRNA from 1 species
AAUCUAACCACACCAAAAAAAAUACAAAUUUACAUUGCACGUUUCUUUACGAGAUCCUCAAAGCCGUCAUUAUAAAAAUCAUAGUUAAUCAAAAUUCCUGUUGAUCUACGGAGCAGCAUGGCAAAAUGACGUAGGAAGAUCUGCUGUAAUUUCAUCCAACAAAACCAGAGGAAAGAGCGAUGGAAUGAGAAUUUGGAAAGAUCCUGCAGUAUUAUCUAUUCUUUCUACAGGUUUUCCUUUAAAUUCUUUCAAAUUCUCUUCAAGCUUGUACAUCUGGACUUUUUCUAAACAGUCUCAUUCAGGAGAAACCCCAAACCAGAAAUGUCUUCUUCAAUCAUCAAAACAUAGUAAGCACUGAUCCAGGGCUCAGAAGAACUGGUCCAGGUCCGAGCAGUUCCCAGCUUUCGGCAAGUCAAAAACUCGCAUUUCUUCUAUCUUCCGUAAAAAACGAAUAUGUGUGCACUUCCAACCUUCAGGGG